ACAAACUCACCUGUAAGAUACUCACCUGUGUAUACUCACCUGUGUAUACUCACCUGUGUAUACUCACCUGUGUAUACUCACCUGUGUAUACUCACCUGUGUAUACUCACCGGGUACCUUGGAUCCUCACCUCUGCACUGAGUCCUCCGCACCAACCUGUCCUGACCCGUCCUGCACCAGCUGUAAAUAAAACCUUUUACCUGA